AAAGUUUUUAUUGUUUUUUUUGUUUUUUCGAAAUAUUGUUUUUUAAAAGUUUUAACUUUUUUAUAUUGUUACUGUUAAGGGUGAGCAUAAGUUUGUUAUAAGAUUUGAUGGAGGCUUUUACCUUUUGUAUCAUGGUUUUACUAGAAUAGAGUAGUGUUUAUUUUCUAGAAAGAAAAAGAAACUUAUAAGGAUGUUUAGCACUUCGGGAAAAUUAUUUCAAUAAUUUCCUUUUACCUUUAGGUUGUAAUGAGAUGUUUCGAUUUUUUUGAUAGCUAGUUGGUCUUUUAAGCUUUUAAGAGGUUAAAAAAGGGGGUAAUCUCUUUUUUUUUGAAUAAAUUUUUUGUUUGAAGAAUAAACUUAGGAAUAAAAGUUUCUUUUGUUUAAAAAUGUGUAAUAACUAAUAUUUCAGUUUACUCAUAUUUUUCUUUUUUAGAGGCCUUUUAUUGAUUUUUUUUGUAAGAAAAAGAAUGUUAAAAUUAGUAUUUUGUUUUUUUCUUUUUUAUGAAUUCGGCAAAAAGACUUCUGACUGUUUUCAAAAACAUAGUCUUUUGGUGUUUUAUAAAAGAUGUUUUCUGCUCAGUGGUAAAUAAAUAGCCGCGGUAAUUUGACCGUGCAAAGGUAGCAUAAUCAUUUGCUCUAUAAUUGAGGGCUGGAAUGAAUGGGAUAACAAGAUGUCUGCUUUAUUUUGGAGAAAAAAAGAAUUUGCUUUUUUAGUGAAGAAGCUAGGAUUUAGUUGGGGGACAAGAAGACCCUUUUGAGCUUUAUUAAUGAUGUUUUUYUUAAUUAUUUUUAAUUUGGUUGGGGCGACCAAGGAAGAGAGGAUCUUCCUUUUUUACUUUGAUCCGGAGGUUUCGAGUGAUGGACUAAGCUACCAAAGGGAUAACAGCGUAAUUUUUUUUAUGAGUUCUUAUUAAAAAAAAAGAUUGCGACCUCGAUGUUGACUUAUGGUUACCUUUUGGUGUAGCAGCUAUUCGGGUAGGUCUGUUCGACCUUUAAAACCUUACGUGAGUUGAGUUCAGACCGGCGUGAGCCAGGUUGGUUUCUAUCUUCAAUAAUUUAUAAAAUUCUCUAGUACGAAAGGAUUGAGUAUUUUUUUGU
rnacentral:rRNA from 1 species